rnacentral:rRNA from 1 species
GAUGAACGCUGGCGGCGUGCCUAAUACAUGCAAGUCGAGCGAACAGACGAGGAGCUUGCUCCUCUGACGUUAGCGGCGGACGGGUGAGUAACACGUGGAUAACCUACCUAUAAGACUGGGAUAACUUCGGGAAACCGGAGCUAAUACCGGAUAAUAUAUUGAACCGCAUGGUUCAAUAGUGAAAGACGGUUUUGCUGUCACUUAUAGAUGGAUCCGCGCCGCAUUAGCUAGUUGGUAAGGUAACGGCUUACCAAGGCGACGAUGCGUAGCCGACCUGAGAGGGUGAUCGGCCACACUGGAACUGAGACACGGUCCAGACUCCUACGGGAGGCAGCAGUAGGGAAUCUUCCGCAAUGGGCGAAAGCCUGACGGAGCAACGCCGCUUGAGUGAUGAAGGUCUUCGGAUCGUAAAACUCUGUUAUUAGGGAAGAACAAAUGUGUAAGUAACUAUGCACGUCUUGACGGUACCUAAUCAGAAAGCCACGGCUAACUACGUG